CUAAAGGACUGGUGGUGAUACCAGCAAUGUCCACCUCAACAUAAUUGCAACACUUGAUGCUCCUGAUGGGUCCCUUCCACCUCAGCAUAUCCUGUGAUUCUGUUGGAAUACAAUCAAUGGCAAAUAGGACAAGUUAGGGCAUAGGCAGAUUCAGUGUAAGCAGUGGAGAAGCCCUGAAGACUCAUGGAUAACAGAGGAGACAGCAGGCAUUUGCUACACACCUAAGUCUCUCCAGGGGUUUCAGUACCAUACCAUAAGAAGAAACUUAAUUCUGCUAAUGAGCUGGACAAGAAUGUUCUAAGCAAGACUCAGCCAAGUCAUCACAGCUGUGCUACAGCACAAGCAAACCUUGGAUCACAGGCAGCUGAACAUCUGGCCACUGUUCAGCAUCUGAAAGUCAGCUGCACAUUCGCACCAGAACAAAGGCCUGGAUAUAUGCAUUUCAUCAGUCAUCUACUCUGGAGAGGAAUGGCAUAAAUUUCAACACAUCUGCUAUUUUUGCCUGCAAAAUAUUCAAAAUUGUUUCUGCAGAAGCUAUGGGCAGCAGUGGGGGACAUUUAUUUAAAGAAACUUGGAACAAUGGAUCACUAGCGAUUAAAAUAAAAAUGGAAAUUACAUUCUGGAUGCAGGAG
rnacentral:lncRNA from 12 species